rnacentral:rRNA from 1 species
UUACGGCCAUAUCACGGUGAAACACCGGUUCCCGUAUGAUCACCGAAGUUAAGCAAUGUCGAACCUGGUCAGUACUUAGAUAGGUGACUGCUUGGAAAUUUC